rnacentral:rRNA from 1 species
AUUGAACGCUGGCGGCAUGCCUUACACAUGCAAGUCGAACGGUAACAGGUUAAGCUGACGAGUGGCGAACGGGUGAGUAAUGUAUCGGAACGUGCCCAGUCGUGGGGGAUAACUGCUCGAAAGAGCAGCUAAUACCGCAUACGACCUGAGGGUGAAAGCGGGGGAUCGCAAGACCUCGCGCGAUUGGAGCGGCCGAUAUCAGAUUAGGUAGUUGGUGGGGUAAAGGCCUACCAAGCCUACGAUCUGUAGCUGGUCUGAGAGGACGACCAGCCACACUGGGACUGAGACACGGCCCAGACUCCUACGGGAGGCAGCAGUGGGGAAUUUUGGACAAUGGACGCAAGUCUGAUCCAGCCAUGCCGCGUGCGGGAAGAAGGCCUCGGUUGUAACCGCUUUGUCUAGGA